UAGCUUUCGUCUCUCAGUGUUAGUAAUAGCCCAGUAAAGUGCCUUCGCCAUCGGUGUUCUUUCCAAUCUCUACGCAUUUCACCGCUCCACUGGAAAUUCCCUUUACCCCUACUAUACUCUAGUUUAAUAGUUUCGACUGCGAUUUUGAGGUUGAGCCUCAAGAUUUAACAGUUGACUUAUUGAACCACCUACAGACGCUUUACGCCCAGUGAUUCCGGAUAACACUUGCAUCCUCCGUCUUACCGCGGCUGCUGGCACGGAGUUAGCCGAUGCUUAUUCUUCAGGUACACGUCAUUGAUUCCUCCCUGAAAAAAGAGGUUUACAACCCAUAGGCCGUCAUCCCUCACGCGGUAUUGCUCCGUCAGGCUUUCGCCCAUUGCGGAAAAUUCCCCACUGCUGCCUCCCGUAGGAGUCUGGACCGUGUCUCAGUUCCAGUGUGUCUGAUCGUCCUCUCAAACCAGAUACUGAUCGUCGCCUUGGUAAGCCAUUACCUCACCAACAAGCUAAUCAGCCGCAAGCUUCUCUUUAGGCGGAAAAACCGUUUCACUCGAAAGCAUAUGGGGUAUUAGCAACCGUUUCCAGUUGUUGUCCCCCUCCUAAAGGCAAAUUCUUACGUGUUACUCACCCGUCCGCCACUUGAGUUAAAAACUCUCGUACGACUUGCAUGUGUAAAGCAUACCGCCAGCGUUCAUCCUGAGCCAGGAUCAAACUCU
rnacentral:rRNA from 1 species